UCGACUCUUCGCACGUUCGUUGGCGGAUUGCAAUUUCGCGGCGUUCAAAUGAGUCGUGAUCGCGCGUAGAGGAACUGUUGGGUGUCGCUCGGCUGCCAUUUCGCUACAUUUUCGAAGGAAACGUGAGAAUUUGGAGGCCUCUGUCGUGUUGGGAAGUUUGGUUGCGAAGUUUUUGUGGAAUCGCGUUUUUGUGCACCGGCGGAGUACGGCAGGUGGAAAGUGAGUGACGAACGGCGUAGGGAACACGGCGCGGAGGAGCGGAAAAUGCUUGCACUCGCCAUCCGCAGGAAUCGCUUCGGAACUUGCCGUGUGACGCUUCCUCAGGAAAUUCGGUCUAGUGGUUGGGCGAGCGGAGCUGCCCCUGCAGUUCUGGUCUGAAAAUCGCGAUCGUGCCGGCGUGAUUUCUCCGCGGUUGUGCAGGGAAUUUGUGUUUGGGUGUGAAAGUGUGUUGUGUUGAGUGCGGAGGAGCAGAGAAACCGUCCGGCGUGAAAGGCCUCGCCUUGUUUACAUUUGAAACUUGUGGAUUACGCCGCCGUGAGCCAGCAGGAUGGAUACGAUCGAGGAGCAGUCUAAGUCAGAAGACAUGUCAGUAUCCCCGUCACCGUCGCCGAAAGAUCUCCGCAUAUGCCUGGUGGGGGACGUCGCAAACGAUACGGCGACAGUCGAAGCAGCAAAGACUUUUGGCGUUCCUGUCGUUUCAUCGGAGUCAGGACUCGAUAUAGUUUCCGAUGUGGGGUGGACAACAUAUUUCAUUAUGAACGACUUUGAAAGUCCGGCGUUCGAAACGAUACACAAAAGUGAACAUAGGGUUAUGGGACCACCUGCGUUACUGCAUGCUGCUGAAGCUGGGGAUGGAUUGAAGCAUAAUUCGAGACCUGUGUAUAAUUAUUCUAUGCGAGGAGUAAUUACAUGCUUCACUGGAAUUCGAAAAAAAGAUGAAUUGACACGAUUAGUAAAUUUAAUACAUUCUAUGGGCGGCUCUAUACGAAAGGAUAUGAAUUCAAAAGUAACUCAUCUCAUUUGUAAUACGAGCGGUGGUGAAAAGUAUCAAUAUGCAAUGACAUUUCGCUUAGCUGUAGUACGUUCCGCUUGGGUGUACCAGGCAUGGGAAAAUCGUGAUGUUCCUAAUUUUAUUGCAAUAAAUGAAGAGUUUACAAAAGAGCAUCGCCUUAAAGCUUUUGAAGGACAACGAAUAUGCUUCUUCGGUUUUGCCCUAGACGAACAUCAACAUAUGGUCGAUGUGUUAAAAAAUAACGGCGGUAUUCCAACAGAACUUGACGAUCCAGAAUGCUCACAUGUGAUAAUUGCUAAUACUGGUGGCCAUUUUCCCGAAAACAUUCCUUCUUCCCGCAAUGCGUCUCCUACAGUCAGUGCAGAUCAGGGUGAAGUCGAAACAAUGCAAACAACUGAAACACUUAAAAGUCACUCUGAGAAAGAAGAUUCGUCCCCGAUUAAUGAAAUUUUAUCAACAACACCAAAGAGUUCGAGGAUGUCAGGGGAUGAACUUAUGGAUGGCGUGGUAUUGACUCGAAACGAAGAGAAUGGGUUUUUGAAUCCAAAUGACCUCUCUCCAAUCUUAAGCCAAAAAUUAGAAUGUUUAAAUAAUCAAACUACAGAAAUUAUCAGUCCGAUAAAUGAAGAAGACGAAGAGGAUGUAAAUGUUGAGAUGAGCGAGUUAAAGGAAUUAAAGCGCAAAAGAGAUAGUUUUGAGGAUGUAUCGUUAAUGUCGACCGAUUCAAUAGCGUUGGGCAGUGUUAGUUCUGCGAAAAAGCCGAAGCUAAUUCGUACUGGCUCUAUAACACGCAGUCUGAAACGCAGCAUGAGUUUUGUGGGAAUUCGAACUCCAAUCGCAAGUAUGUUACGUCCACGCCGAAACUCAGUGGAUCCUAAUGCUUCAAUUAACUCCAUGGCUUCCAUCGAUAGUACACUAAAUGAGUCAACUAAGAAGCCUGUAAGGGAAAAGCUUCGCGAAAUGCGAGACCGCAUUACAAGAUCAAGCAAACGAGAAAUCAAUAUCACACCGAAAACAGUGAAACUCGCUUCAUCUAAUUUAAAAUGUUUAUCAAAAAUUUGCAAACUGAAAAAUUCAGAAAGGUGCGAGACGCCAGAGAAACAGUUUUUUGAUGAAACCACCGAUCUCACUGACUUUAAAACCCCACUACUUCCCAAGUCCACCAAUCCCACAUCAUUCAUCGCACACCGACAUUCUGUUUGCGGUGUUGGCUCGGUUAGUGCAAUGACCGAUGACUUGAAAAUCAGUGUCGAAAUGCCACCAGUACGCAAAUCAUUAGCAGCCGAUUCGUCGACAGGGAAUAACACAUUAGAUCCUUGUAUCGGGAGUGCUGCCGUAUUGCAUAGAAAUGAUCCUUCUUGUAACGCAACAGCUAUGAAUGAGUGUGAUAUUUCAGUAUAUCAUAUCAAUGAGCGCAAUCCGGUUGUUGACGAGCAUUUUACCCAAGCCAAGCCAGAGCCUAAAAAUAAUAAAACUCAUAUAGUUAAGUCGGAUUGGUUUUGGUAUACUAUACAGAAUGGUUACGCCGAUGAAGCGGAUUACCUGUUUGGCGACUAUUUGGAUAGCAUUGCCAAUACACCGGGGACAGAUCGCCGUGAUUCAUUACCCAUCAGCUUUAAUAAACGAAAACGAAAACGUUUCUCGCAACGGAUACAAGCUGAAGGAACUCCUCUCGGUUCUGGAAAGCGACGUUCAUCUGUAUCAGAUGCUGGACUAUUAUCCGUUUCAGGAAGUUUUCUCGAUUGCACGGCUAGUCCCGAUAAACAUGAACCGGCUGUUAAGGUGAUACCCGAGAAUGAAGUGAUUGUCGAAGCAGCUCCAAAAAAUAAAUCGAUGCGAUAUAAUCAUUUUUCGGAUUUUUACCAUACUGAGUCGAACUAUGUUGGAAUAUUGGAUACUAUUGUAAAUCUCUUUAAAAUACCUCUAGAGGAGAAGGCUGAAACAAAUGAUGCUCUCUUAAAUAAAUCCGAAGUGAAAGCCAUUUUCAGUAAUUUUCUUCCAAUACAUGAAGUACACAGGCAUAUGUUAGAGCGGUUGAAAGAACUACAAAUCAAAUGGAGUGAAGAAUGCUUAAUAGGACAAAUCAUCUUAGACCAUAGAGAUGAUUUAAUGAAAGCUUACCCGCCAUAUGUGAAUUUCUUCGAACAGAUGAAAGAAACCCUAAUACAAUGUGAUACACAAAAUCCACGAUUUCAUGCAUUUUUGAAAAUUAACCAGGCGAAACCUGAAUGUGGCCGACAAAGUCUACAGGACCUCAUGAUUCGACCAGUUCAACGAUUGCCCAGCAUCAGUUUACUAUUGAAUGAUAUUCUGAAGCAUACAAGCAAGAACAAUCCGGAUUGCAAGAAAUUAGAGGACGCGUUGAAGUCCAUUAAGGACGUGAUGGCCCAUAUAAAUGAGGAUAAACGGAAAACAGAAUGUCAGCUGGCCAUGUUUGAUAUUUUUAACGAUAUUGAUGGAUGUCCGGCACAUCUUGUUUCUUCACAUCGUCAGUUUGUUUCUAAAUGUGAAGUUACGGAAGUGACGGAUGCGUUAAGUGGCCGUGGAAACUCGCUUAUGCUGUACUUGUUCACAGACACGAUAGAAGUAUGUAAAAAACGUUCGAAGGGCUUCAAUAGUGGCAAAUCGCCAAGUGCUACAAAGCCAUUCAAGCACAUCAAACUUAUGCCAUUAAAUACAAUAAAGCUUGUUAUUGAUAUUACGGAUAGUCCACGAGCUUUUGCAGUAACAUGUCGUCAUAAUCUUGACAACAAGGAAAAACUUUACGCUUUUAUUAUAUGUGAUGAGGAAGUGGAUAAAAUCAUCUAUUUGCGGAGUUUAUGCAAACAAAUGGCUGAAAAUGCUUGCCGAACUGAUACUGAGAAAUCACUGCUUCAGCUGUCGUCUUCGGAGGUGGGCGUGGAUACUAGUGAUGUCAAUAUCGGAACACUAUCGAAAGCAUUCAAAUUUGCAACGCAAACUAGGUUAAAGUAUUUUCAUUCUAGGUUACUCGAGCGUUUUCAUUCAAUAAAACGCCUUCAAAACUCAAACGAGCCGUCUCAACAAUGAUGACGUCCCCAUUUGGAAGUACAAACUCGUUGACUCCCGCAUCUCAGUUGGCUCAGAUGAAGUUAGCCAGCUGCACGAACAUAAAUGAGGUUGGUGAAGACGACAAUAACAGCGACGACUCACCGUCACAAUCGGAAGUCUUGAUUGCUCCAAUGUCUGUGCAGCCAACCAGGAAAGCGAAAAAUCCGACCAUAUCAAUGACCGCAUUAAGGCGCAUCUAGGAGAAC
rnacentral:misc_RNA from 1 species